AUUGAACGCUGGCGGCAGGCUUAACACAUGCAAGUCGAGCGGAGUGAUGGUGCUUGCACUAUCACUUAGCGGCGGACGGGUGAGUAAUGCUUAGGAAUCUGCCUAUUGGUGGGGGACAACAUCUCGAAAGGGAUGCUAGUACCGCAUACGUCCUACGGGAGAAAGCAGGGGAUCACUUGUGACCUUGCGCUAAUAGAUGAGCCUAAGUCGGAUUAGCUAGUUGGUGGGGUAAAGGCCUACCAAGGCGACGAUCUGUAGCGGGUCUGAGAGGAUGAUCCGCCACACUGGGACUGAGACACGGCCCAGACUCCUACGGGAGGCAGCAGUGGGGAAUAUUGGACAAUGAGGGGAACCCUGAUCCAGCCAUGCCGCGUGUGUGAAGAAGGCCUUAUGGUUGUAAAGCACUUUAAGCGAGGAGGAGGCUCUUUUGGUUAAUACCCAAGAUGAGUGGACGUUACUCGCAGAAUAAGCACCGGCUAACUCUGUGCCAGCCGCCGCGGUAA
rnacentral:rRNA from 1 species